UGCAGUCGAACGGCAGCACAGUAAGAGCUUGCUCUUAUGGGUGGCGAGUGGCGGACGGGUGAGGAAUACAUCGGAAUCUACCUUUUCGUGGGGGAUAACGUAGGGAAACUUACGCUAAUACCGCAUACGACCUUCGGGUGAAAGCAGGGGACCUUCGGGCCUUGCGCGGAUAGAUGAGCCGAUGUCGGAUUAGCUAGUUGGCGGGGUAAAGGCCCACCAAGGCGACGAUCCGUAGCUGGUCUGAGAGGAUGAUCAGCCACACUGGAACUGAGACACGGUCCAGACUCCUACGGGAGGCAGCAGUGGGGAAUAUUGGACAAUGGGCGCAAGCCUGAUCCAGCCAUACCGCGUGGGUGAAGAAGGCCUUCGGGUUGUAAAGCCCUUUUGUUGGGAAAGAAAAGCAGUCGAUUAAUACUCGGUUGUUCUGACGGUACCCAAAGAAUAAGCACCGGCUAACUUCGUGCCAGCAGCCGCGGUAAUACGAAGGGUGCAAGCGUUACUCGGAAUUACUGGGCGUAAAGCGUGCGUAGGUGGUUGUUUAAGUCUGUUGUGAAAGCCCUGGGCUCAACCUGGGAAUUGCAGUGGAUACUGGGCGACUAGAGUGUGGUAGAGGGUAGUGGAAUUCCCGGUGUAGCAGUGAAAUGCGUAGAGAUCGGGAGGAACAUCCAUGGCGAAGCAGCUACCUGGACCAACACUGACACUGAGGCACGAAAGCGUGGGGAGCAAACAGGAUUAGAUA
rnacentral:rRNA from 1 species